GGCUCGUUGGUCUAGUGGUAUGAUUCUUGCUUUGGGUGCGAGAGGUCCCGGGUUCGAAUCCCCGACGACCCG
rnacentral:tRNA from 1 species